rnacentral:rRNA from 1 species
GACGAACGCUGGCGGCGUGCUUAACACAUGCAAGUCGAACGGAAAGGCCCUGCUUUUGUGGGGUGCUCGAGUGGCGAACGGGUGAGUAACACGUGAGUAACCUGCCCUUGACUUUGGGAUAACUUCAGGAAACUGGGGCUAAUACCGGAUAGGAGCUCCUGCUGCAUGGGGGGGGUUGGAAAGUUUCGGCGGUUGGGGAUGGACUCGCGGCUUAUCAGCUUGUUGGUGGGGUAGUGGCUUACCAAGGCUUUGACGGGUAGCCGGCCUGGGAGGGUGACCGGCCACAUGGGGACUGAGAUACGGCCCAGACUCCUACGGGAGGCAGCAGUGGGGAAUAUUGCACAAUGGGCGGACGCCUGAUGCAGCAAUGCCGCGUGCGGGAUGACGGCCUUCGGGUUGUAAACCGCUUUGGCCUGUGACGAAGCGUGAGUGACGGUAAUGGGUAAAGAAGCACCGGCUAACUACGUG